CUUGCCCCACAGUGGGGGAUAACCCGGGGAAACCCGGGCUAAUACCGCAUACACCCGAGAGGGGAAAGCCGUAAGGCGCUGUGGGAUAGGGCUGCGGCGUAUCAGGUAGUUGGUGGGGUAACGGCCUACCAAGCCGAUGACGCGUAGCUGGUCUGAGAGGAUGAUCAGCCACACUGGAACUGAGACACGGUCCAGACUCCUACGGGAGGCAGCAGUGGGGAAUCUUGGGCAAUGGGGGAAACCCUGACCCAGCAACGCCGCGUGGAGGAAGACGCCCUUCGGGGUGUAAACUCCUUUUGCAGGGGAAGAGAGAGACGGUACCCUGCGAAUAAGCUCCGGCUAACUCCGUGCCAGCAGCCGCGGUAAUACGGGGGGAGCGAGCGUUACUCGGAAUCACUGGGCGUAAAGGGUGCGUAGGCGGCUUANUAAGUUGGGAGUGAAAUCCCACGGCUCAACCGUGGAACUGCUUCCAAAACUGCUAAGCUAGAGUCCGGGAGAGGCCGAGGGAAUUCCUGGUGUAGGGGUGAAAUCCGUAGAGAUCAGGAGGAAUG
rnacentral:rRNA from 1 species